UUCGAAGUCCAGGGGCCGCGCCAGGUACAAGCGCCCUGAGGCCGCAUCCAGCGCGAAGGUGCCCUCGGGAUCGGCACCGCCCACCAGUGUGUAGUUAGCGUGUACAAGAUGGUCCCAUUCUCCCCCUCAUCUGGAUCCUUCGCCUGCAGAGUCGUCACCAGUGUUCCCGGAGGCACGCGGUCUGGUACCUGUGGGAACACAACUCACCUAGAAUGCUAGUAUUGAUUUUGGAGUUACAAAUAAAUUUUCGAGAUUAAGUGAAUUCACAAAUAAUGAGGACCAACUGUACUUAGAAAGAAGAAAGGGCUGUGACCUCAAAUUCCAGGUGGGUCCAGGAAGUUAAUACCCUCACCAAGUCUCAUAAUCACCCCAAACCAAGAACUCACCGACAGUGGAAUUAUUGAGACUGAUUUAUAGGUUUGAUCUUUAUUGAGUUUGAUUAUUACAGAGUGGGAUCUGAUUAAUACUGGGAUCUGAUCACUAUAGG
ensembl:lncRNA novel transcript